CCCCUUACCUGCCGGGUGCCCCCGGGGAGAGCCGUGGCAUGGCUGUGGGUCCUGUGCUCUCUGGGUGUCUGAGGGUUUGCUUUGGGAUCCCAAACCCUUUCCCCGUGCAGGGUUAUGAGGCAAAGACUGCUUUAACUUGGUUUUUUGGUGCUGCGUUAAUGCUUUUUGCUCGUUCUGUGUCCAUUUGCAGCCUCGCUCGUGGUUUCCCCUGGUGUGGAGGCGAGUUGUGCUUCCUGCUGGGAGAGAGAACGGCCUUGGGAAGCUGCUCCAUGAGCCACAGCUGUGCCGAGCCCGGCAGUCUGUCCAGACUUCGCAAAGCUCCCCAGGAAAGGAAGCUUUAUAUUCCUCCCCAGCUUUAUGCUAAAGGUUUCCUUCCUCCUGUCUCAGCACCCUUUCUGCUGUUGGGAGAGCACGCGGUGGAUGGAGAGGAUCCCCAGGCAUCUGCAGGCACAAGGGACUCAUACAACUGCGAUUUUCCUCCAGCCCUCGUGAAAGGGACUUCCAGGAUACUCUUGGGAAUGUACCAGCUCUCCUGCUGGAGCUUUUCUAUGGAAUAUUUGAACACAAAGGGUAAAACUAAAGUCAGGUCUGUUCUGGAGUAUGUUACACUUGUGCAAAACUCCGUUCUUCUGUUUAUUUUCUGUUCUGGAAAGAACAGUCUGGGGUUCCUGGGCACUUCCUAUUGAGUGAUUCCAUGAAAAUAAUUUUGUACUGAAAGGGGAAAGGAGCUGUCUGUGGGAGGUCAGGUGUCCAUGAUAAAAGCUUUAUGCUUUUCAGUCAGAUAAGCCUUAAAAUAUCUCACAGUGUAUAGGAAUGCCUGGCUUCUAAAAGUCACCAGCUGAGUCUUAGAGGCUCCUUUGAAGAGCUGUUUUCAGGCAGGCAAAUUGCCCCCCAGGAGGGACUCUGUGCCUGCUCUCCCGUGGCUCCAAGGGAUCUCUGGCCCUUCACGCCGGCACCGAGAUUUUCUCGGGAAGGGCCUCAGAUCUCCGGACCAGUCUGGGACACAGGCAAGAUCCCCCUGCAGUUUAGGACCAAAUUGGCCCCCUGGAGGGACAGUGCUGUUGGUGCCCCCCGGGUUGGGGCACCCCGAGGACUCCAGCGCGCACCGAAAGGAUUAUUCGGGGAGAUCCUCGGGGUGCCCGGCCCUGGGGAGCUCAAAGCAAGGUCCCUGCCAUGGAUUCAGGCAUUGCUGAGAGUAUCCCAGGGGUCCCUGUCCCUGCUAGACAGGGAGCUCUCUAAUGGGCUGUAAUUGGGUUCUAAAAGCGGUGCUCCAAGUGCCAAAGAAGUGUGGGAUUGGGAUUAAGAAAUGAGCAGUGAGGGUGCAAUUGGCUGUUUUCUCUGGAAUGUGACUGUGAGAGCUGCAGGAGUGCCAGGUGUGUGUUCCAGUCCCCAGCAUUU